AUUGAACGCUGGCGGCAGGCCUAACACAUGCAAGUCGAACGAGUGGCGGACGGGUGAGUAAUGUCUGGGAAACUGCCCGAUGGAGGGGGAUAACUACUGGAAACGGUAGCUAAUACCGCAUACUAUCGGAUGUGCCCAGAUGGGAUUAGCUAGUAGGUGGGGUAACGGCUCACCUAGGCGACGAUCCCUAGCUGGUCUGAGAGGAUGACCAGCCACACUGGAACUGAGACACGGUCCAGACUCCUACGGGAGGCAGCAGUGGGGAAUAUUGCACAAUGGGCGAAAUCCUGAUGCAGCCAUGCCGCGUGUAUGAAGAAGGCCUUCGGGUUGUAAAGUACUUUUGGCUAGGAGGCGUUAUUCGCAGAAGAAGCACCGGCUAACUCCGUGCCAGCAGCCGCGGUAAUUC
rnacentral:rRNA from 1 species